CCCAGGAUGGAGCAGCAGAGUGAGACCCUGGAGUGCAGUGACACAAUCAUAGCUCACUGCAGCCUCAACCUCCUGGUCUCAAGCAAUCCUCCCACCUAAGCCUCCCAAGUAGCUGGGACUACAGGCGCAUGCCACCAUGCCAGGUGUUUUAACUUGGCUUAUAAACUCUAUCAGAUCUGUUAUUACAGAGAACUGAAGUAAUCCAAAAGAAAAGUAUUCGGAGACUUUGAGUAGAUUCUCAAAACAACAGACACCCAAAUGCUGAAACAUUGACGCCCUCGCUACAGUCAGUACAGGAAAAUGUGAAUAUUAUCCUGGAUGCCAUCAUAGUGAUACAAGUUGCAAAGGUGAGAGCUUGUAUUUGUCAAAGUGUAGAAGUGGUUCUUCUUACAUCAUAAAACAUGGAUGCUAACAUCUAGAUGACUUACCUUAAAAUCCCAUUUUUUUCUCUUUUGAUCAUAAUAAUGCAUUUUGUGGUACAAAUAAGAGAGGCUAUUUUCUUUGCCAAAAUAGCUUGAGAGUGAUCAGAGCCGAGAUAUGGAAACUAUGGAAUACCUCAUAUUUCUUCUCCUGAAAGCUGAUUACCCAGAUAUCCAAAUUCAUUAUUCUGUAGUUUAUUCUCAGUGUAUUUUCCUAAGAUUUGGAAAUUAGACAAGUUCAUACAUGGGGCCCAGAGUUUCAAGCACUUCCUGUAUUAACAGUAGAUUACAAAGAUAGCAUGAAAAAUCGGAAAAGAAUUGAAGAUGCCAACUAACGCACCUAAAAAUCAAUUUCAUGAACUUGUCAUGUUGAAAAGUCAAAUAGAAAAUAAUUUAUGUGUGAUAUCAGUACCAUCUUUUCCUUUUUUUCUUAAAACAAAAAUUUCCCUUUUAUUUAAAGAAAAGAGAAAAAUAAGAGAAAAUAAAGUAUAUGAAGAAUCACACUCAGAAAUUGCUUCUUCCUGUCGUGCCUCAGGGAUGUGAAGCAAAAAAAUAACAGGCAUAUUGAUCAUAAAGCUGACAGGUUAUUGGUGACUCUAAGAGAUCUAUUGUCCCAUCCCCAACUAGCAGCAAAAGUUCUGAUGACAUGUGAAUUGAUAUGAAAUCAGGUUUCAUAGUGAUUUCAAAGAAGGUUUUCAGUUUAGUUCAGGGCUGAAGGAAAUGUCUGUUUCUUUGGAGAGGAAAGAUGAUGUGACAUAGUGAUUGAGUCUUGAACCAGGGGCCAGAGUACGUGGGUUCUUCCCUCAAUCUCACCUCUUGGGUUCUUUGUGACUUGCUAUCUCUGAUCUUCCAUUCUUUCCUUCUUAAAGAAUAGUGCGUGCCAUGCCUGCAUCAAAAGAGUCUUGCGAGGAAGAUCCAGUGAGGAAAUGUGUAUAAUUGCCUAAUAAUAUAUAAACAGUACUGUGCAAGUAGAAGGUGUCAUUAAUAACAUCAGAAUGCCUUUGCGAUUACAAAUGUGGGUGACACUGUGUGCAUGAGUACUGCAGGAUGUGGCGUCCAAUCACAUGGUGGCCCUCCCCGGUGACUCAAGAAAGGAUGCACAUCUCAGCACUGAAGGAGACCUGAUUUUUCUAAAGUGAAGAAGUAAAAAUGAUGCCAGAGACCAAACUGCAGUAUAACAUUAUUCAUGGGGGAGUCUGUAUCACAGGACAUUUAAAGGGAGAAAACUUACGUAUAAAAAAAGAAAAUGUGCUUUCAACUAGAACAGCAAGAAAAAUGAUUUUUUUUAAUUCCAGUAAAAAUUUAAGCCAAAACGAAACAAGAGAAACUUCAGGAGUCUACCAAUCCUAGUUGUAAUCCUUUUGAAAAACAGGAAAACUUGAGAACAAGAGAACAAACAAGGUAGAACAAAGUUGUUUUUACUGGUCUAACAUCCUCUGUAGUAUUAAUUAGAUACAUGAAACACCCAGAAGGAGAACUAAGUGAGAGAAAGAGAAGGAAAGGCAAAUUUAAAGGAUGUGACUCCUGUUCUGUGGAGCAGACUCGCUUUAGCAUCCUCUUCUGUUUAUUAAAUAUUGUGUGCAAAUGUCUGGGGUGCCAGCUACGUUAUGGAGUUCUUGGAGAUAUGUUCUACAGUGAUCUUUCAGAUAAAAGCCCUUCUUUUUUAGAUGAGAAGUUUAACUGAGUUAACUAAGUUUUAAUCAAUUAAUUUAAUCUUGUCCUACUUGGACUAGAAUUUAGAUGAUGUCCUGAUUUCUCAUCUUUUUGCCACCUUUCAUGGUUUUUCACAUUUAUAAGAUAAGAUCAUUUAAUUAUGGGACAGUGAUUUCAACUCAUUUUUGGAUUCGUCUAGCCAUCUACACUCAAAAUCGUAGUGUGGCACAUACCUCUAAUAUUCAUAUAUAAGCCCAAAUUAACUAUAUCGUAAUAAUUUUGUUAUAUCCCUUGAGAUACAAUAUACAAAAGCAAGAGAUAGAAUUUAUGGUUGUAUUUGCCCAUGUGAAGUUACUGAAGUUUGAACAAUAAAUAGCUAACAAAAAUAAAUUUAAAAGAAUUUCAGAUAAUUAAACUCAACAUUAUUUUAAGGAGCUACAGUGGCAGGGAUUCCAGGCCAAAUCACAUUGUAAAGAUAGAUAGAUAGAUAGAUAGAUAGAUAGAUAGAUAGAUAGAUAGAUAGACAGACAGACAGACAGACAGACAGACAGACAGACAGACUGAUUUGGGGGGAAGUGGGAGCAAUUUGUCAGAACGUAAAAGAGAACUAUUUGAAUUCUGUCAAAUCAUUUUACCUGGGGAACACUUAGAUGUUGGAGGAUUACCUUUUCCUUUGGCUUCAAGAGAAAAUAGGCAGUGUUUUCAGCAAACAUCAUGAUUUUUGAUCUCUCAAAGCCUUUGUAUUGAGAAUACAGAUGAUAUAUUUGUCUCUAUUUUGUACUCGGAUCUGGAAUUUCCUAGAAACUUACCACAAAGGGCUGUUGUCCAUUCAAGAUGGAAUCACAGGCAGGCAGACACACCUUGCCUUUAGCUUUCUGCCUGGGGCACUUUCCACACUGUGGUGUAAGGCGUUCACCCAGAUUGACAGCAGUGGUCUUGCUGGGUGGAGGGAACAGUAGAGUUCAGGGCCACUGACGCAGCUAUAAUUUUUGAAGAGGCAUAUCCAGAGAGGAAAAAGCUGCACGGAAGCGUAGCUCUAGAAAUCUGCAUAUAGGUUCUUUUGAGUCAUUGGCAUGCACAUGUGAAACUCCAUGAUUUCUGGCAGAGAAGGGCUAUAAGAGGCUCUGAGUUGAACUGGGACACUGCAGGUUCCACAGUGCUGAGGGGCACUGGCGUUCUGACCUGGCAGAGUGGAGUCAUUU
rnacentral:lncRNA from 1 species